GGGGGACCAUCCUCCAAGGCUAAAUACUCCUGACUGACCGAUAGUGAACCAGUACCGUGAGGGAAAGGCGAAAAGAACCCCGGCGAGGGGAGUGAAAAAGAACCUGAAACCGUGUACGUACAAGCAGUGGGAGCACGCUUAGGCGUGUGACUGCGUACCUUUUGUAUAAUGGGUCAGCGACUUAUAUUCUGUAGCAAGGUUAACCGAAUAGGGGAGCCGAAGGGAAACCGAGUCUUAACUGGGCGUUAAGUUGCAGGGUAUAGACCCGAAACCCGGUGAUCUAGCCAUGGGCAGGUUGAAGGUUGGGUAACACUAACUGGAGGACCGAACCGACUAAUGUUGAAAAAUUAGCGGAUGACUUGUGGCUGGGGGUGAAAGGCCAAUCAAACCGGGAGAUAGCUGGUUCUCCCCGAAAGCUAUUUAGGUAGCGCCUCGUGAAUUCAUCUCCGGGGGUAGAGCACUGUUUCGGCAAGGGGGUCAUCCCGACUUACCAACCCGAUGCAAACUGCGAAUACCGGAGAAUGUUAUCACGGGAGACACACGGCGGGUGCUAACGUCCGUCGUGAAGAGGGAAACAACCCAGACCGCCAGCUAAGGUCCCAAAGUCAUGGUUAAGUGGGAAACGAUGUGGGAAGGCCCAGACAGCCAGGAUGUUGGCUUAGAAGCAGCCAUCAUUUAAAGAAAGCGUAAUAGCUCACUGGUCGAGUCGGCCUGCGCGGAAGAUGUAACGGGGCUAAACCAUGCACCGAAGCUGCGGCAGCGACGCUGAUGCGUUGUUGGGUAGGGGAGCGUUCUGUAAGCCUGUGAAGGUGUGCUGUGAGGCAUGCUGGAGGUAUCAGAAGUGCGAAUGCUGACAUAAGUAACGAUAAAGCGGGUGAAAAGCCCGCUCGCCGGAAGACCAAGGGUUCCUGUCCAACGUUAAUCGGGGCAGGGUGAGUCGACCCCUAAGGCGAGGCCGAAAGGCGUAGUCGAUGGGAAACAGGUUAAUAUUCCUGUACUUGGUGUUACUGCGAAGGGGGGACGGAGAAGGCUAUGUUGGCCGGGCGACGGUUGUCCCGGUUUAAGCGUGUAGGCUGGUUUUCCAGGCAAAUCCGGAAAACUAAGGCUGAGGCGUGAUGACGAGGCACUACGGUGCUGAAGCAACAAAUGCCCUGCUUCCAGGAAAAGCCUCUAAGCAUCAGGUAACAUCAAAUCGUACCCCAAACCGACACAGGUGGUCAGGUAGAGAAUACCAAGGCGCUUGAGAGAACUCGGGUGAAGGAACUAGGCAAAAUGGUGCCGUAACUUCGGGAGAAGGCACGCUGAUAUGUAGGUGAAGUCCCUCGCGGAUGGAGCUGAAAUCAGUCGAAGAUACCAGCUGGCUGCAACUGUUUAUUAAAAACACAGCACUGUGCAAACACGAAAGUGGACGUAUACGGUGUGACGCCUGCCCGGUGCCGGAAGGUUAAUUGAUGGGGUCAGCGCAAGCGAAGCUCUUGAUCGAAGCCCCGGUAAACGGCGGCCGUAACUAUAACGGUCCUAAGGUAGCGAAAUUCCUUGUCGGGUAAGUUCCGACCUGCACGAAUGGCGUAAUGAUGGCCAGGCUGUCUCCACCCGAGACUCAGUGAAAUUGAACUCGCUGUGAAGAUGCAGUGUACCCGCGGCAAGACGGAAAGACCCCGUGAACCUUUACUAUAGCUUGACACUGAACAUUGAGCCUUGAUGUGUAGGAUAGGUGGGAGGCUUUGAAGUGUGGACGCCAGUCUGCAUGGAGCCGACCUUGAAAUACCACCCUUUAAUGUUUGAUGUUCUAACGUUGACCCGUAAUCCGGGUUGCGGACAGUGUCUGGUGGGUAGUUUGACUGGGGCGGUCUCCUCCUAAAGAGUAACGGAGGAGCACGAAGGUUGGCUAAUCCUGGUCGGACAUCAGGAGGUUAGUGCAAUGGCAUAAGCCAGCUUGACUGCGAGCGUGACGGCGCGAGCAGGUGCGAAAGCAGGUCAUAGUGAUCCGGUGGUUCUGAAUGGAAGGGCCAUCGCUCAACGGAUAAAAGGUACUCCGGGGAUAACAGGCUGAUACCGCCCAAGAGUUCAUAUCGACGGCGGUGUUUGGCACCUCGAUGUCGGCUCAUCACAUCCUGGGGCUGAAGUAGGUCCCAAGGGUAUGGCUGUUCGCCAUUUAAAGUGGUACGCGAGCUGGGUUUAGAACGUCGUGAGACAGUUCGGUCCCUAUCUGCCGUGGGCGCUGGAGAACUGAGGGGGGCUGCUCCUAGUACGAGAGGACCGGAGUGGACGCAUCACUGGUGUUCGGGUUGUCAUGCCAAUGGCACUGCCCGGUAGCUAAAUGCGGAAGAGAUAAGUGCUGAAAGCAUCUAAGCACGAAACUUGCCCCGAGAUGAGUUCUCCCUGACUCCUUGAGAGUCCUGAAGGAACGUUGAAG
rnacentral:rRNA from 1 species